UUGCUCACUUUGGCAGCACAUAUAACUAAAAUUGGAAGGAUACAGAGAUUAGCAUGGCCCCUCGAAGGAUGACAUGCAAAUUCAUGAAGCAUUCCAUAUUUUA